CGAACGGGUGAGUAACACGUGAGUAACCUGCCCACAACUUUGGGAUAACGCUAGGAAACUGGUGCUAAUACUGGAUAUGUGCUCCUGCUGCAUGGUGGGGGUUGGAAAGCUCCGGCGGCUGUGGAUGGACUCGCGGCCUAUCAGCUUGUUGGUGGGGUAGUGGCCUACCAAGGCGGCGACGGGUAGCCGGCCUGAGAGGGUGACCGGCCACAUUGGGACUGAGAUACGGCCCAG
rnacentral:rRNA from 1 species